UAGACCGCCUGGGGAGUACGGCCGCAAGGUUAAAACUCAAAUGAAUUGACGGGGGCCCGCACAAGCGGUGGAGCAUGUGGUUUAAUUCGAUGCAACGCGAAGAACCUUACCUGGUCUUGACAUCCACAGAACUUUCCAGAGAUGGAUUUGUGCCUUCGGGAACUGUGAGACAGGUGCUGCAUGGCUGUCGUCAGCUCGUGUUGUGAAAUGUUGGGUUAAGUCCCGCAACGAGCGCAACCCUUAUCCUUUGUUGCCAGCGAUUAGGUCGGGAACUCAAAGGAGACUGCCAGUGAUAAACUGGAGGAAGGUGGGGAUGACGUCAAGUCAUCAUGGCCCUUACGACCAGGGCUACACACGUGCUACAAUGGCGCAUACAAAGAGAAGCGACCUCGC
rnacentral:rRNA from 1 species